UUUGAAUCUAAUUCAAGCUCUCUAAGUGGAAGUAUAUGCUUUCUACCUGAGAGAGAAUCGGGUUCAAAUCUUGCAGGGACCUUCUGUGCCGUUUGAUUCCGUGCUCCUCUAGCUUUGCUUGGUGGUUAUCCUAGGACUUCUAAGCAAUCUCAACAUGUGUACUGCUCUGUGAUGAUUGAUGAUAUAUGCUACACUUAGGAUGGACUCGUGCCUUAGCGACUUUAAAACUUGAAAGAUAAUAGUUGUGCUUAUUUGAUUGUAUUAAAACAAUGAGUUCAUUUAUUCAAUAAAACAACAUUUCAAUUU
rnacentral:lncRNA from 1 species